rnacentral:rRNA from 1 species
CCUUCGGGAGGCAGCAGUCGAGAAUCAUUCACAAUGGGGGAAACCCUGAUGGUGCGACGCCGCGUGGGGGAAUGAAGGUCUUCGGAUUGUAAACCCCUGUCAUGUGGGAGCAAAUUAAAAAGAUAGUACCACAAGAGGAAGAGACGGCUAACUCUGUGCCAGCAGCCGCGGUAAUACAGAGGUCUCAAGCGUUGUUCGGAAUCACUGGGCGUAAAGCGUGCGUAGGCUGUUUCGUAAGUCAGGUGUGAAAGGGGCGGGCUCAACCCGCGGAGGGCACAGGAUACUGGGAGACUAGAGUAGAGGAGAGGGGACCGGAAUUCUCGGUGUAGCAGUGAAAUGCGUAGAUAUCGAGAGGAACACUCGUGGCGAAGGCGGGUUCCUGGACAUUAACUGACGCUGAGGCACGAAGGCCAGGGGAGCGAAAGGGAUUAGAUACCCUUGUAGUC